GUAGAUGAUGGCGGUGUCGGAGUGUGAGAUCUUCUGCCGUUAUUUACAGGGGAAGGUGAAAAUGGUGGUGUUGGAUCAGUCGCCGACACUGUAACUUCUUUGCCUUCGCAGACAGUCCUGACUUCACAGUAGAGAGGCAAAUGAUAUGAAAUCCUGCUAAUUUAUAUGAUUCAUGGUAUGUAGCCCUCACCGCAAAUUGGAUUUCGAUACUCCCAACACUAGCUGCUUUAUGGUAAGAACAGGAAUAAGUUCAACGACCGCAUCAGCGACUUGAUCACUCUCGAUGAGCUCAAGAAAUUGCCACCGUUAGACAAUGCUAAGGUGAAACUGGACUAGUUUGAUGACCGUGGGCUCAAGCAUCCAGAAGACCAGAACUGAUGUGCUGCAAAUGAAGACGGAGAAGUAGGCGGGGAGGGGUGUGUGCUUUUGCUUACAUGGGGUGG